AUUGAACGCUGGCGGCAGGCCUAACACAUGCAAGUCGAACGGUAACAGGAAGAAGCUUGCUUCUUUGCUGACGAGUGGCGGACGGGUGAGUAAUGUCUGGGAAACUGCCUGAUGGAGGGGGAUAACUACUGGAAACGGUAGCUAAUACCGCAUAACGUCGCAAGACCAAAAAGGGGGACCUUCGGGCCUCUUGCCAUCGGAUUUGCCCAGAUGGGAUUAGCUAGUAGGUGGGGUAACGGCUCACCUAGGCGACGAUCCCUAGCUGGUCUGAGAGGAUGACCAGCCACACUGGAACUGAGACACGGUCCAGACUCCUACGGGAGGCAGCAGUGGGGAAUAUUGCACAAUGGGCGCAAGCCUGAUGCAGCCAUGCCGCGUGUAUGAAGAAGGCCUUCGGGUUGUAAAGUACUUUCAGCGGGGAGGAAGGGAGUAAAGUUAAUACCUUUGCUCAUUGACGUUACCCGCAGAAGAAGCACCGGCUAACUCCGUG
rnacentral:rRNA from 1 species